rnacentral:rRNA from 1 species
UAUACCGUGAAACUGCGAAUGGCUCAUUAAAUCAGUUAUCGUUUAUUUGAUAGUACCUUACUACUUGGACAACCGUGGUAAUUCUAGAGCUAAUACAUGCUGACAACCUCGACUUACGAAGAGGUGUAUUUAUUAGAUAAAAAACCAACGCCCUCGGGGCUUCUUGGUGAUUCAUAAUAACUUUACAGAUCGCAUGGCCUUGCGCCUGCGACGGUUCAUUCAAAUUUCUGCCCUAUCAACUUUCGAUGGUAAGGUAUUGGCUUACCAUGGUUUCAACGGGUAACGGGGAAUUAGGGUUCGAUUCCGGAGAGGGAGCCCGAGAAACGGCUACCACAUCCAAGGAAGGCAGCAGGCGCGCAAAUUACCCAAUCCCGAUACGGGGAGGUAGUGACAAUAAAUACUGAUACAGGGCUCUUUUGGGUCUUGUAAUUGGAAUGAGUACAAUUUAAACCUCUUAACGAGGAACAAUUGGAGGGCAAGUCUGGUGCCAGCAGCCGCGGUAAUUCCAGCUCCAAUAGCGUAUAUUAAAGUUGUUGCAGUUAAAAAGCUCGUAGUUGAACCUUGGGUCUGGCUGGCAGGUCCGCCUCACCGCGUGUACUUGUCCGGCCGGGCCUUCCUUCUGGAGAACCUCAUGCCCUUCACUGGGCGUGUUGGGGACCAGGACUUUUACUUUGAAAAAAUUAGAGUGUUCAAAGCAGGCCUUUGCUCGAAUACGUUAGCAUGGAAUAAUAGAAUAGGACGUGCGGUCCUAUUUUGUUGGUUUCUAGGACCGCCGUAAUGAUUAAUAGGGACAGUCGGGGGCAUCAGUAUUCAAUUGUCAGAGGUGAAAUUCUUGGAUUUAUUGAAGACUAACUACUGCGAAAGCAUUUGCCAAGGAUGUUUUCAUUAAUCAGUGAACGAAAGUUAGGGGAUCGAAGACGAUCAGAUACCGUCGUAGUCUUAACCGUAAACUAUGCCGACUAGGGAUCGGGCGAUGUUAUUUUUCUGACUCGCUCGGCACCUUACGAGAAAUCAAAGUUUUUGGG